UUUUUGGAGUUGGUCCACAUGGUUAUCAAACAGGCGUUUCUGGCGAUUCUCUUGGUGCAGAGUAUGAACGCCGUUGAAAGCUCUGACUUCACCAUAAAAAAGUGCUAUGAAUGCUACAGUUAAACAAGCAGUUGAGGUGAAAUUGUCCGUUGCAGUUUGUGUCAUGAAGUUACAGAUGUAGUUUUUACUAUUUCAGAACGUUGUUGUUUCGGAAAUUGAAUCUCAGCCUUCUUCAAUGGCUCCAAAGAAAGGUGUUCAGGUAGUCACAACUAAGCAGAAAACGAUAUGAUUAUUUACCUAGUAGUUAUGGCCAGAAUUUGGCGGUUUAUUUUUGCCUGGAGCAAUUUGCCCGUUACGAACAUUUGUUGUUACAGUACGUUCUAAGCACAAAUAACAAAAUUCUUUAGCUUAUUCAUGGCUCUUCAAACUUUUCUUCUUCCUUCUGCAAUCUCUAUUCACAAAGAGGUACAAAUGCCCAAAUUUUAUUCAGUUUGACCCUAAAUUCAAUCAGUUUUGGUUCUGUUUUGUUGCUUCAUUUGAAUUUGUAAUGUGAAACAGGUGAAUGGAGCUUACGUUUCAAAACUAUGUUAAAUCUGAUUUCAAUACUCUUUUGAUAGGAAUAAAGGAGUUUGAUCGUGUUUGAUACACCUUCGAGGAUCUUCGAUAUGAAGAAAGUGAUCUUGCAUAUUUUCAUGGAAGAUUGAAUAGUUAUUAAAGUCGAGCGUCAGCUUGCACCUAGGCGAGAACUCCAGGCGAAGUGCAUUAAAUGCACAUAUGGUCCAAGGCAUUUAAAGCGAUUCCCACGUGCACUUAAUUAGAUGGGUCUAGAUGCCGAUCUUGGUCCAGGUGAGCUCGAUGUAACAAAUCCUGGACUGGUUUGCAGAAGGUGGAAAAAGUUGGGGCAAACGGUCUGUUUUGCUACCUUGUGGAGGUCGUCGUUGGCUCGAAACGCUGCUGAGUUUAAUGGGAGAUCAAUGUCGGUGCUGGAAAUAGUGGAAAUAAUCAAAGAAGACUCCUAUAUUUGGUUUAAAAAUAGGACUAGGGAUAAGUUAAUAGAUUGGUGGCUGGCUUAUGUUUAAUGUAAAUGCAGUUUUGUAACUUGGCUUGCCUUUCUUGGUGUUACAUUUUUUUUUUCAAGUGAUUUGUUUGCUAAUUUGAUGAUUUGAUGAAGUAAUUUGAACUAAUGAAAUCAGUUAAUUUGUU
rnacentral:lncRNA from 1 species